rnacentral:rRNA from 1 species
UUUCACAUGCAAGUCGAACGGCAGCAUGGAGAGCUUGCUCUCUGAUGGCGAGUGGCGAACGGGUGAGUAAUAUAUCGGAACGUGCCCAGUAAUGGGGAAUAACUAAUUGAAAGAUUAGCUAAUACCGCAUACGACCUACGGGUGAAAGCAGGGGAUCUUCGGACCUUGCGUUAUUGGAGCGGCCGAUAUCUGAUUAGCUAGUUGGUAGGGUAAAAGCCUACCAAGGCGACGAUCAGUAGCUGGUCUGAGAGGACGAUCAGCCACACUGGAACUGAGACACGGUCCAGACUCCUACGGGAGGCAGCAGUGGGGAAUUUUGGACAAUGGGGGAAACCCUGAUCCAGCCAUCCCGCGUGAGUGAAGAAGGCCUUCGGGUUGUAAAGCUCUUUCGGAAGUGAAGAAAACUUAUUUCGUAAUAUGUUAUAAGAAUGACNGAGUACUUUAGAAGAAGCACCGGCUAACUACGUGCCA